UACGGGGGGAGCAAGCGUUGUUCGGAAUUACUGGGCGUAAAGGGCUCGUAGGCGGCCAACUAAGUCGGAUGUGAAAUCCCCAGGCUCAACCUGGGAACUGCAUCCGAUACUGGAUGGCUUGAAUCCGGGAGAGGGAUGCAGAAUUCCAGGUGUAGCGGUGAAAUGCGUAGAUAUCUGGAGGAACACCGGUGGCGAAGGCGGCAUCCUGGACCAAUAUUGACGCUGAGGAGCGAAAGCCAGGGGAGCAAACGGG
rnacentral:rRNA from 1 species